rnacentral:lncRNA from 1 species
CUCUUGUGUGUGGGGGCCUUCUGAUCUCUGGGAGCUCCCUCAAAGGCAAACUCCCAUGCAGAGGGCAUUUCUGAGGACUGAAAUCCAGGGUGUAAACUCUGCUCAAACAUGGACACAGAAAGGCAGACAGCAGGAGAAAUCAUUUUCCUACAAAGAGAAAACAGAUGUGUCUUGGAAGAGAAAAUGAGAUACAACUUUUUGUAAUUUAAAAAACAAGACUUCAAACUUCAGGUGGACACCUUAGCCUUCUGCCACAGAUUCAAAGGAUAUAAAGUAGAACUACAAAGAGCUUAAGUCCUGACUCCUAGAAGCUUGUUUCUAAUAUCUGCCUCCAUUAGCCUUCGUUAAAGCCGCAGCAUCUCUCAGUUGAAGGCAGAGGUAUAAAGUCAAAGACUCCAGAAGUUCUUGGAAAAUGAUAAGUCAAUCUCUUGACAAAUGAUCCAGGGGCAACUUCGAAUUCCUGUUUCUAUCUCUACCUCUCUGAUUACUUUAACAAGCACUUUCUGAUUGGACCUUGGUAAUUCCAGCAAGCCAAGACUUUCCAUGGGACAGGAGGACUUCACCUUACCCUCUUAGAUUACUGGCAACCUCGCAUCCCCUGAAUUCCUGUUCAGGGAGAAGAGCAAGUCCUUCCUUCAGGGACUGGAGAAUGACAACCUUCACAGAACCCAGAGCUAGAGACUGAGGACUCAGAAUGUAGACUGGGAAUAAGAGAACUACAGCCAGGGGCCAAAUCCCUCCAGCCACAACAACAACAAAAAAAAAAAAAAA